AGAUUGAACGCUGGCGGCAGGCCUAACACAUGCAAGUCGAGCGGCAGCACGGGUACUUGUACCUGGUGGCGAGCGGCGGACGGGUGAGUAAUGCCUAGGAAUCUGCCUGGUAGUGGGGGAUAACGCUCGGAAACGGACGCUAAUACCGCAUACGUCCUACGGGAGAAAGCAGGGGGACCUUCGGGCCUUGCGCUAUCAGAUGAGCCUAGGUCGGAUUAGCUAGGUUGGUGGGGUAAUGGCUCACCAAGGCGACGAUCCGUAACUGGUCUGAGAGGAUU
rnacentral:rRNA from 1 species